rnacentral:rRNA from 1 species
UACGAAGGGGGCUAGCGUUGUUCGGAAUUACUGGGCGUAAAGCGCGCGCAGGCGGUUUGCUAAGACCGAUGUGAAAUCCCCGGGCUCAACCUGGGAACUGCAUUGGUGACUGGCAGGCUAGAGUAUGGCAGAGGGGGGUAGAAUUCCACGUGUAGCAGUGAAAUGCGUAGAGAUGUGGAGGAAUACCGAUGGCGAAGGCAGCCCCCUGGGCCAAUACUGACGCUCAUGCACGAAAGCGUGGGGAGCAAACAGG